UGCCAGCAGCCGCGGUAAUACGGAGGGUGCAAGCGUUGUUCGGAUUCACUGGGCUUAAAGAGUGCGUAGGCGGCUUGGUAGGUUGGGUGUGAAAUCCCACAGCUCAACUGUGGAACUGCGCUCAAAACCACCAAGCUUGAGGAAGGCAGAGGUGAGCGGAACUGAUGGUGGAGCGGUGAAAUGCGUUGAUAUCAUCAGGAACACCGGUGGCGAAGGCGGCUCACUGGGCCUUUUCUGACGCUGAGGCACGAAAGCUAGGGUAGCGAACAGGAUUAGAUA
rnacentral:rRNA from 1 species